AAAACAAUAAGCAUUAAAAAAAAUGCGCGCCGAUUUCGACUCGGCGAGAGCACAAAGCAUUGUUUUU
rnacentral:tRNA from 1 species